rnacentral:rRNA from 1 species
UGAGGAAUCUUCCACAAUGGACGAAAGUCUGAUGGAGCAACGCCGCGUGAAGGAUGACAGUUUUCGGAUUGUAAACUUCUUUUAAAUGGGAAGAUUAUGACGGUACCAUUUGAAUAAGCAUCGGCUAACUACGUGCCAGCAGCCGCGGUAAUACGUAGGAUGCAAGCGUUAUCCGGAAUUACUGGGCGUAAAGAGUGUGUAGGUGGUAGUUUAAGUCAGGUGUUAAAUCUCUGGGCUCAACCCAGAAUCUGCAUCUGAUACUAGAUUGCUAGAGACAAGAAGAGGUAAGCGGAAUUUGUGGUGUAGCAGUUAAAUGCGUAGAUAUCACAAGGAACACCAAUGGCGAAGGCAGCUUACUGGUCUUGUUCUGACACUGAGACACGAAAGCGUGGGGAGCGAAAG